AGAAUCAACGCUGGCGGCGUGCCUAACACAUGCAAGUCGAACGAGAAAGUGGAGCAAUCCAUGAGUAAAGUGGCGACCGGGUGAGUAACACGUGACUAACCUACCUUCGAGUGGGGGAUAACCUCGGGAAACCGAGGCUAAUACCGCAUAACAUCGCAAGAUCAAAGCAGCAAUGCGCUGGAAGAGGGGGUCGCGGCUGAUUAGCUAGUUGGCGGGGUAAUGGCCCACCAAGGCGAAGAUCGGUA
rnacentral:rRNA from 1 species